rnacentral:rRNA from 1 species
AUGAAAUCAGCGGGGGGAGGUGUGCGCACGGACGGCAAAAACAUUGCAGCAGUCCAAAACUGGCCGACACCAACCAACGUCAAGGAAGUACGAGGAUUUCUCGUCCUCGCAGGGUACUACCGCAAAUUUGUCAAGAAUUUUGGCAUCAUCAGCAGACCACUGACAGACUUGUUGAAGAAGAACACGGUAUUCUGUUGGACAGAGCUAGAAGAGGCGGCCUUUCAGGAGCUAAAGAAGGCGCUGGUCACAGCCCCCGCCCUGGCCUUACCAGAGUUCAAGGUGCAGUUCGAAAUCGAGACGGACGCAUCCGACAAAGGCAUUGGAGCAGUUUUGCGCCAGGGCAAACACCCAGUGGCAUUUCUCAGCAAGUCAUUGGGCCCCAAAAAUAGAGCACUAUCAACUUACGAGAAGGAAGGGCUUGCAAUUCUGAUGGCUGUGGAUCACUGGCGCACAUACCUACAGCAUGAUGAGUUUAUCAUCCACACGGACCAGCGAAGUCUGGUGCAUCUUGAGGACUAG